rnacentral:rRNA from 1 species
GGCACACGGACAACCUGGUGGCGAGUGGCGAACGGGUGAGUAAUAUAUCGGAACGUGCCCAGUCGUGGGGGAUAACGUAGCGAAAGCUACGCUAAUACCGCAUACGAUCUAUGGAUGAAAGCGGGGGAUCGCAAGACCUCGCGCGAUUGGAGCGGCCGAUAUCAGAUUAAGUAUUGGUGAAGUAAAGGUCACCAACCGACGAUCUGUACUGGUCUGAGAGACAACAGCCCACUGGACUGAGACCGGCCAAACCCUACGGAAGCACAGUUGGGAAUUUUGGACAUUGGCCCAACUGAUUCACCAUGCCGCUUCCGAUUAAGGCUUCCGCGU